CCUACGGGAGGCUGCAGUGAGGAAUAUUGGUCAAUGGCCGUAAGGCUGAACCAGCCAAGUCGCGUGAAGGAAGAAGGAUCUAUGGUUUGUAAACUUCUUUUAUAGGGGAAUAAAGGUAUCCACGUGUGGAUAUUUGCAUGUACCCUGUGAAAAAGCAUUGGCUAACCCCGUGCCAGCAGCCGCGGUAAUUCGGAGGAUGCGAGCGUUAUCCGGAUUUAUUGGGUUUAAAGGGUGCGUAGGUUGUUUUUUAAGUCAGCGGUGAAGGUUUGUGGCUCAACCAUAACAUGGCCGUUGAAACUGGGAGACUUGAGUGUGUUAGAGGUAGGCGGAAUGCGUGGUGUAGCGGUGAAAUGCAUAGAUAUCACGCAGAACUCCGAUUGCGAAGGCAGCUUACUGGGCCAUAACUGACGCUGAGGCACGAAAGCGUGGGGAUCAAACAGGAUUAGAUACCCUGGUAGUC
rnacentral:rRNA from 1 species